AUGUCUGUGGGGACAUCUAAAUGUCCUGACUGUGUCAGCUGGAGAGAGCAUUACUAUCAACUGCAAAUCCACCAAGGUUUUUUAUUGAGCUGCAACCAGAACUACUUGGCCUGGUGCCAGGAGAAACCAGAACAGCCUCCUAAAUGUCUCAUCUACUUGUCAUCAACCCAGAAAUCUGGAAUCCCUGGCUGCUUCAGUGGCAGUAGGUCUGGAACACAUUUCACUCUCACCGUCAGCAGCGUCCAGGCUGAAGAUGUGGCAGAUUACUACUGUCAGCAGGGUUACAAUGCUCCUCACACAGUGCUUCAGCCUUGA